rnacentral:rRNA from 1 species
AUACGGUGGAUGCCUUGGCAGUCAGAGGCGAUGAAAGACGUGGUAGCCUGCGAAAAGCUUCGGGGAGUCGGCAAACAGACUUUGAUCCGGAGAUGUCUGAAUGGGGGAACCCAGCCAUCAUAAGAUGGUUAUCUUGUACUGAAUACAUAGGUGCAAGAGGCGAACCAGGGGAACUGAAACAUCUAAGUACCCUGAGGAAAAGAAAUCAACCGAGAUUCCCUUAGUAGUGGCGAGCGAACGGGGACUAGCCCUUAAGUGGCUUUGAGAUUAGCGGAACGCUCUGGAAAGUGCGGCCAUAGUGGGUGAUAGCCCUGUACGCGAAAAUCUCUUAGUCAUGAAAUCGAGUAGGACGGAGCACGAGAAACUUUGUCUGAAUAUGGGGGGACCAUCCUCCAAGGCUAAAUACUACUGACUGACCGAUAGUGAACUAGUACCGUGAGGGAAAGGCGAAAAGAACCCCGGAGAGGGGAGUGAAAUAGAUCCUGAAACCGUAUGCGUACAAGCAGUGGGAGCAGACUUUGUUCUGUGACUGCGUACCUUUUGUAUAAUGGGUCAGCGACUUAUUUUCAGUGGCGAGCUUAACCGAAUAGGGGAGGCGUAGCGAAAGCGAGUCUUAAUAGGGCGUCUAGUCGCUGGGAAUAGACCCGAAACCGGGCGAUCUAUCCAUGGGCAGGUUGAAGGUUGGGUAACACUAACUGGAGGACCGAACCGAC